AUGACGCUUCUGAGCUGGAACUGCCGGGGCCUCGGGCAGCCCUGGACAGUUCAAGAAUUGGUGUGUCUGGUGCACACCUACAAGCCAAAGCUCGUUUUUCUUUCAGAGACACGGCAAAAAAAAGUAAGCAGCCUAUGAUGGAGACUAGGCCUGAAACACUGCACCACCCAUGCUGGCGUAGGAAAAGGAGCCGGCAUAGCUUUGUAUUAUGAUGAAAGCGUGGAAGUAAUAAAACUUGCCGUGGGUUUGAGAUACAUUGAUGUGUUGAUU
rnacentral:rRNA from 1 species